UACGUAGGUGGCAAGCGUUGUCCGGAUUUACUGGGCGUAAAGAGCGCGCAGGCGGUCGUUCAAGUCGCGUGUGAAAGCCCCCGGCUCAACUGGGGAGGGUCACGCGAUACUGAUCGACUCGAAGGCAGGAGAGGGAAGUGGAAUUCCCGGUGUAGUGGUGAAAUGCGUAGAUAUCGGGAGGAACACCGGUGGCGAAGGCGGCAUCCUGGACCGGCAUUGACGCUGAGGCGCGAAAGCCAGGGGAGCAAACGGG
rnacentral:rRNA from 1 species